CGGGGGACCAGGGCGUCUCUCUCCGGAGCGCUGCCGCCUCCUGGACUCCCCGCUCCAGCUCCAAGGACCGGCAUCGCUGCCGCAGCCGGGAGGCCGAGAACGCGCGGUGGCGACGCCGCCCCAGGCCACGCGGCGAGGCGGUUCCGAACGGACUCGGGAUUCGCUCCUGGGCGCUGUGGGGCCGAGUGGAGCCAAGCGGCCGUUUUUCAGCUCCGCCCUUCCGAAAGGCUGCCGCAGGGUCGGGGCCACGUGGGGCCCGCGGCAGAGGGGCUGGGGGAACGCCACGGGCGGCCCUGGUGAAGGUGCCCGCCGGUCUCGGCCUGACCCCCAGGCCCUGUUCUGGCACGCGCCCCACCUGCGCGCACAGUGAGACCGGCGCCCUAGCCUGGGAAUCCGGGGAAUCUCCAGCCCGUUGCCUUUUCCAUAACCCCGUCUUCUUUUUCACACUAGCUCUGAGGGUGGAAGGCAGGGAGGUGCCAGCCACGUUCCCUUCCACAGAGGGAACUCCCUGUUGGAAUUCCUACCCCGGCUUCCUGCCGUCUGUCCUGGAACACAUUGCUCCAGGCCUCCGAGCCUCAGUUUCCUCGUUUGCAAAAUGGGGGCGAUAACAGAGCGUCCUCAAAGGGGAUAAGACGGAAGAAGUUGGCUCAUAUCAGGGCUCAUAAUUGUUGCCAAGUAUUAACAGGGCUUGGGGCUCCUGCCCACUCGUAUCAGGUCCCGGGACCCCCCCGGUGGUGUCCUCAGGGCUCCCGCCGUCCCAGGCCGCCCUCCACUUCUGGAAGCAGACACGAGGCCACGAGACCCACUGCUUUUGGGUAUCUGCUUUCAUUCCUGACACUGCCCUUUAAGAGAAAAAAGUACCCACAUUGUUCCCAGAUGGAGAGGGUCCCUCCCAGAGGGUGAGGCACUGCCACAGGGGCUCACGGCCCUGCCAGGAGUGGAAGGUGCACACCCAGAAGUAUUUCUCCUGUGAAGGAAGGGGGCUGAGCUUCGCUGCAGACCUGGCCUCAGGUGUGGAUGAGCUUCGCUGCAGACCUGGCCUCAGGUGCGGAGUCUGCGGGAGCAGCAUUUCCAGGCAGACCUGACAGAAGGUGCCUUUGAGAGGUGGUGAGCUCCGUGUUACAGGAGGCUUGUGAGCACAGGUAGCCCAUCUUCUGGUGAUGAUGCUGGAGAAGCAAUUCAAAUGUCAGAAGCAGGACUGGACUCUGUUUCCAAAACUCACGUCUGGAUUCUACCCCCUGAAAACAUUAUUUACACAAUGUUUUUCCUUUAAACAAUUCACACAUUUGAUUAAAAGGGUAAGUUUAUUUUUUAAAAAGUCAGUGUCAAUUACCACAAAGAGGUCACCAUAAAAAUAGAUAAAAAGAAACAAAAUGGCAUUAAAUUCUAGCCAAAUAUUGCUGCCUGUGGAGGGCUCCCGGCCUGAGACCCGCCUCAGACCCCACCAGGCAUUCUUUGGGAUUCCUGCAUAGGCACCAUUGGAAAGGUAAAUCCAGAGCAAACAUUUCAGGUACAUUCGUGCAAAAUGCAGGCCCUCAGUCCUGUCCUCAAAGGCAAAUGCUGGUGCCCAGGCUCCUCAAGAGGCCCCUAGGAGCACCAGGAGGCCUUGACCCAGGUGAAGGGUCCUGCCGCAGGCCAUCAAGGGGGUCUGCAGGUCUGGCCCAACUCCAGGCCCUGCGUGGUGGGGUCCAUCUGCACCAGCUUUCGGGAGCCGACUGUGUCCUUACUCUUGCCCUAGAGGACUCGGGGGUCAGCUACAGAGCACAGCAGUGUCUUGGAACAAGGGCAGCCUGAUUAUGUGCCCUGGAACAUUCUGAACUCAAUAAGUUCUAUCCCAGCAGGGCUUUUUUUCUUUCUUUUCUUUUUUUUUUUUCUUUUUUGAGAGGAAAUAAUUAAAAGAAAAAGAAAGCGAGAACCCCCUGGCUCCCCUGUGGCCUUGCAGGGUCGUACUGCUGCCUGUCCGGGCGGCUUCAGGAGGCUCGGAACAGAUGCUGCACAUUUGUGGGCCACUUACUGUUCUCUGACAUCAUCUUUAGAGGCACCUCAAAGAGCUGAAAUGUGACAGCCUGUAUUUCCACCUCCCUCUCUCUUUAUGGACAUUGUCACUUGGAGGAAAAUCGAUCUAAAGAUCAGAAGAGAAGUGUAGAGAGAGAAGAGAGAGAAACGCUGUCAGGUCAAGGGGCAGGUUAAUGGCCAACCCAGAAACAGCGUGGGAUCCCGGUGCCUCUGCCUGGAGGGUCCAGCCUGGAACACACAUCAUUCCUAGCUUUGACCAGGAAUGGUAUCCAAAAAAUGACCUCACUUAGCUAUUAGUACUUGAUUGGGAUAAUACUUAAAAUCCUGCUAAUAUUUCUGUGGUUGCUUCCAUUCUGUAGUCAUAGUUCAUUUCUAUUUUCUAUGAAUUUGGCGUAUGUCUUAGCCAACUCAUUUGAAACUGCCUGUCCUUCCUUGACUUAUAAAAAAAUGGCCAUUUCAGCUUCGUGAUAAUGGGCAAGUCUCAGAAAUGAUGAAAACAUCAUUUAAUUGUUUCAUUAUUUCAAAGUCUCAGGCUGUGGCCAUGUGGUGGAGGCUCUAGAGAAAGUUUCUAAAAAAUAUUUUAAAAGUUACGACUGCACUGUUUUGCAUGAGAAAGAGGAUUUUGCUAAAGAUUGAAGGCGAUCGGGCUGCAGGCGAAAUGUGGCUUGAAGUCCCCAGCUCCAGAGUGGCACGUUUCAGUCUGUUAAAUGCUGUGUUCAGGUGAGGAGUUAGGAUCAUGGUACAACCCAGAUGUGGGCUGGCGGCUGGCACACAGCUUAGCAAAGAAGAGACGCACAAGGCCAGAGUGGCCUUAGGAAAAACUCAGCCUGGAGUUGUCCAAAUGUCCGCGAUGGAGGAGUUUCAUGGGGGAAUUAAGAUUGUCAGGUUAGGGAAGGGCACAGGUAGCUGGGAGGCUCUUUGGUAGCAAAAUUCCAUAGAAGAUAAAAAGCAUGUUCUCUCUUGGAAAUCAUCAGUCCAUCCUGUCGGAGCCCCUUUGGAGCAGGGUGUGGCUGGAGGGCCUGGCUUGCUGGCCACGCCUCAGUCACAGCAUUGGCUUUCCUGCGCUUCUGCUUCCUGCUCUUCCCGGUGAUCUGCGUCCUGCGGGGCGCACAGCAAGCCCUCCGUGGGACGAAGAUCUUCGUCUUCCAUCCACGCUGCUUUGCUCACCUGCGACAUGACCUGAGGCUCUGGCCCUGCUGAGCUGGGCCCUUGGCCAGUGCUGUACAAACGCCAUCCACCAUCUGGUGACAGCAGCCUAGCAAUUGACCAACAGAGGCCUCCCACUGUCCUCCCUCCUGCCGCCCUCCCUCUGCAUCUCCCAGAGCAGGACGACUCCAGGGAGACAGACUCAAUUCAAUCUUUUUCUGUUUCAGAGAAUCUGUCACCAUUAAAAGCAGCUACCAGGGAAUCUGAUUCCAUUGCACCAGGUCUCAGGUCUCAGGUCUCAGGCGUUCUUCCAAAAUGCUGGUGGAUGGUGGGCUCUCGCCCUGGGAUUAUAGAUGCCCAGAUAAACCAUAUGUAAAUAACACUGCAUUUAACCCGCCGACAAAGGGUGGCCUUCUUGACGGUGGUGAAGGAAGUUUUGACCCAGGAGAACAGAGGUCGUCAUUCACAAGCACUAGGGUCCGGUGAAAGCACAGGCUUCAGCGUCUGGACAGGCAGCUACAUGACGGUAUCAUGUUCUCUUUAGAAGCCACCAACUGAUUCCUGUGUGUUCAGAGCCUGCUGUUAGAGAUUAGGUGUGGGGUAGAAAAAAUUGGAAUCUGGACUUCCCUGCCUGGCGAGAUGGCCCUGAGCUCUGAGACAUGACCUGAGGACACCUGGAGUGCCCUGAGUUCCAGGGGACACAUAGCAGCCAAGUGGGGAAGAGGCCACUGAAUGCCGGUGGCUCCGUGGCAAAGGCACAUGGAGCUGUAGGAAGAGACAUGCUGGGGCCCCCAGCACCUGGAGAGCAGCAGCCCUGUCCACACCUGGGGCCUUGGCUGCCCACAGCCUCUCUAGAAGGGUCAUCUGAAUUUCACUGGUGAUCUGCUUGUGAGGUCUUCUGCAUACACUCUUACUUACAAAGAGGCAAACGUCUGCCAGCCCAAGGGCUUCUGGAACUGCCUCGGUCUGCCUGGCUCCUGAGCCUCCCCGCGGGUCUGGGGGUGGAGGUGUUCACAGGGUUCACUUGGCUGAGACCUCACAUUCUGGAAGGGCCUCGUGUUAGGUGAGUGAUUAUCUUAGCUUCCAAUACAACUGUGCAUGCAGUCCGGACCCGCCGAGGCACAGACCCAUCAGGUCUUCUGCUAACUCUCAUCCCGGCCCACCCAGCAUGACUAGCAAGAUUAUAUUGCAUUGAGAGUGUUUACAGUAAAAGCGUUAAAUGUAA